rnacentral:tRNA from 1 species
GUUUUAAUAGUUUAUAAAAAACAUUGGUCUUGUAAACCAAAAAAGAAAUCUUUUUCUUAAAGCU